UACGGAGGGUGCGAGCGUUGUCCGGAAUUAUUGGGCGUAAAGAGCUCGUAGGCGGUCUGUUGCGUCGGCUGUGAAAACCCGGGGCUCAACCCGGGCCUGCAGCCGAUACGGGCAGACUAGAGUUCGGCAGGGGAGACUGGAAUUCCUGGUGUAGCGGUGAAAUGCGUAGAUAUCGAGAGGAACACCUGCGGCGAAGGCGGGUUGCUGGGCUGACACUGACGCUGAGGCGCGAAAGCUAGGGGAGCGAACGGG
rnacentral:rRNA from 1 species